rnacentral:rRNA from 1 species
UACGUAGGGUGCAAGCGUUGUCCGGAAUUAUUGGGCGUAAAGAGCUCGUAGGCGGUCUGUCGCGUCUGCUGUGAAAACCUAAGGCUCAACCUUGGGCUUGCAGUGGGUACGGGCAGACUAGAGUGCGGUAGGGGUGACUGGAAUUCCUGGUGUAGCGGUGGAAUGCGCAGAUAUCAGGAGGAACACCGAUGGCGAAGGCAGGUCACUGGGCCGCAACUGACGCUGAGGAGCGAAAGCAUGGGGAGCGAACAGG